rnacentral:misc_RNA from 1 species
CAUGAUUUACCCUUAAUAUGAUAUAUUUUUUUUAUUUAGAGUAUUUUUAUAUAUAUUUUUUAUGUUAAUACUAAGGAAGACCUUUGGGAAUGUCAAUAAUUAUAAUUUAUUCUUAAAACAUUAACUUUUAUGUAUUCGAACGCUGUAUCGAUUUUAUAGUUUUAUAUCAAAUAAAUAUAAUUCAUGCCGGUUUUUAAUGAGGAUUAAGUUUGAGAUUUUAAUUAAAUGUAAAAUAUUUAAACAUCACCAAAAAUUUUUUUUUCGUUUUUUUUUUUUUUUUAAAUACUACAAAUGAAUGUGAUUUUUUGAUAAUGAUUGAUGAGUUUUUUGUUAGUAUGCAGCUAUACUCAUAUAACUGUUCCAUACAUAUGAUCUAUAAUAUAUUAUCAAACUAUUUAUAUUGUUAAUGUUGUCAUUUAAAAUAUAUUUACAAUUACCGUUAUCAUCAAUUAUUCUAUCUUAAAAUACGUAUAUACUGCCGUAAUUUUGUGAACAUUUUACUUUACAACAUCCAUUGCAAACAAAUUGAAUUGUUUCGUACCAAACUCGCAUCAGUGAUCUUAAAUUGCUUUCAUGAGUCAUUUUAUAAUACUAGUGGGCGCCCAGAGGUCGAAAUUCGACAUUAAUUAAAAAUUGGAAUUUAAGACAACAAAAAAAUUAUGAAAAUAAAGAACUUGUCUUUGACAAUCAACAAAAGAGUAUAAUAUGCGUGUGUGUGUCAAAUACAUGGUAGUGUGUGUAAUGUGUUUUUUUUAUUUCAUAAAUUUUUAUGCAUAAUUAAAAAAAAUAUUAGCAUUCUGCACUCCUUCUUUAUAUAAACUAUGAGUUCAUUGAUAGGUUUUAGUAGGAAGUAAAACAGGACCUCGACUAAUAAACUCCGACUUUUGGUGAUAAAAAUUACGUACAAAAAUAUCCUAUAGAUAAAGUAGAGUUAGAUGAUGAAAAAGCAAAAUAUAUCAAGAGUUUUUAUCUGUUGGAUACCGAUAUACGUCAAAUAGGUCUAUUAGUAGGUAUCCAAUGAAAAAUACGCUAUAUUAUAAUCUAACCAAAACCAUUUCUCUAGUUGACAAGGACACACUACAGGACACAAUAUUACGAUAGUAUACAGAGCACAUACAGACGAGAGGCAGUCAAUUAAAUAACAUGCUACAUACCAUUCCUAAGCAAUAUACAUAAAAAAUAUUAUUUAGAAGCAGUAAUCUACGAACAAGACAGAUUUCCAGCUGAUUAUGAACUUAAAAUAUUGCUUCUAUUCGACAGAUUUUUUGUAAAUAGCUUACAAAUGAUAGUACACGCAAUUCCAUUUAGUGCCUCGCGCUUGUAUCCAUUCUUAUAUCUAUGUACAUAUUUAUUAGUACUUGUAGAACCAUACGUAAUAUAUAAAAUAAUUGAGUUUAAUGAAACAAGGUUUACUUAUAAAUUAACAGAUAACAUAAUAACAGAUACACAAAAGUAGUUGAAAAGUUAAUUUUGAGGUGUAAAAUUCAAUUUUUUUUUUUAAGAAUAAUGAUUGAAGUAGGAUGUAUAUUUAUAAAUGUGUACAAUUUAUUCGUUAUUUGAAAUCUUAAUAGGCUAUGAGGUUUCUUGUUUUCCUAUCGCUUAUUGUGUCUUAAAUUGUUAUUAUUAUUAUUAUUAUUAUUAUUAUUUAUUUAAUUGUAUUAAAUAUCACGGAUUUUAACUCCUAACCUAAUUUUGUAAAUUGUUAAUGUCUCAUCGCUCGACGAAGUUUAGAUUUUCCUUUGAUGGGAAAGAUUUGGCGGUACAACACAGAUUUUUUUUUUGUUUAAAAAACGAUGAAUGAAUUUCAGCGAGAAUGAGAUUUCAGCACGAGAACAUUAAGAAAAUAUGGACUUUUCGCUUUCACUUGGCUACGACCCUUGAUUAAUUAAAUUUUCGUAAAUUAGCAUGCUGGGUUCAAGCUUACCAGUCGAAGGCAACUCUUCGGACAAGGGUUUUUACUUACUGCGACUUAAUCGAUCAACGAGCGUAGCUAAGUAACAACGAGAGAGUCACUAUUUUCUUAAAGGUAAUAAGCAAUAGAGUAGAAGACUGAUGCUCUAUUAUUUGUUUUAAUGGUUGUGUCUGUUGUAAAUGGAACAACUCUCUUAAAAAGCACAUUGGCGUUGAAGGACGUAACGCUUUAAUAUCCUGACUAAACUGUGCGAAAACGGUUUCUGUUUUUUUUUUAUUGCGCAUCUUUCUUAAUAUUUUGGUUUUUCUCAAUAUAUUUCUGCCUUCUUAUUAUUUAUUUUAAUUUUAUCAAAACUCUUAAUAUAUCUAUUGUUUUUGCACAGGUCUAAGUUUCAUUUUAUUUGUUUAAAUUUUUGUUUUAUAUUUAAUGGAUGCAAAUAGAUAUAAGAAAUGACUAUGGAUUUUAUUGCGUAUCCAUUUAAAGUAAUAAAAUAAAAAUAAAAAUUAAUAUUACACUAUUAAAACUAAUUUUCAGUUUUUUUUUUUACUUGAUAAAAAAACGCGAGUUAUUUAUUAUUAUCUUUAAAUAAGCUUAAAUAAUAAUUAGCGACUAAGUUAUUCUUGUCAAGUAGUUUACAUGUUCAUUGACCGAAUUACACAUGCAAUAAGAACGCAUCAGUUUGUAUGCAAGAAAAUGUUUUGCAUGCAAAUUGUAUAUAUGUCGAUUGCGCAAGAAGGAUUUUUUUACCGAAGGUGAAGGAAGGUG